rnacentral:misc_RNA from 1 species
CAACCAUCAGGCCCCCCCCCCCCGGGGGGCCUGUGCUGGGGCCCUGCGGCUGCCCGCAGGCCCUGAAAACCAGUGGCGGGCUCGCUAGUCACACCGAGCGCAGUAGCACAUCUCGCUCAGGGCGUGCGGCGGGCUCCUGCCGUGAAACCCCCCCACUGUAACCCAAA